rnacentral:sRNA from 1 species
CCUACUCCUACACCUACUCUUAUCACUUGUAAUCCAAAAAAGCUCCAUUUCUUUCUUAUACGCUAAUUCACUAUUAAAUAGAAAUGUAUAUGCAAAACAGCGAGAAAUUUGUAGAUACGUUGAAUGUUGUUGCUUUCACAUUUGCAACUCUUAGUAGUUGUUCAAAACAACAAUGUCGAGCAAAGAUGUUUGCGAUGUUUGAAUGAUUCUUGGAUUGUAUUUGGAUUCCAUCGGUACUAUGGCCUGUUGAUUCGGCACCUUUGUCAUUUUAGCAACUUUUGUUUUCUUUUCUGUGUCGAUGUAGUUCUCUAUACCAUAUUCAUGUUCAUAUUCAUGUUCAUAUUCAUGUUCAUAUCAAUGUCCAUAUCAAUGUCCAUAUCAAUUUCCCAUGUUCCAUUACAUAUCCCGUGUUCUUUCCUUCUUCCAGCUUUUACAUGCUAGCCUUUUAUACAAUGAUUCCUCUCAUCUCGACUCGCUUGAUGAAUGGGCGUUUAGUUUUUGCAACAACAUAUGCGUUGGGUUAUCUCAUAUCGGGAAACACUUUCUGCCACUUUUAACUUGAACAAAGUUGGAGAAAUAAAGUGAUGGCAGAUAUUGCAAGUUGUUUAUAGUGUGCCUGUAGAAAUGUAAAAACGCUAUGUUUCGUGAAUGCCCAGCCUGUAAAUCGAAAUAAGAUUUCGUAUUUAUUAAGCAUUGGAAGAUCACAAUUGGAAAAAACACGAUACGGUUGGUCUCUUCACAGUCGUUCUCCAGNAAAUCACAAACAUGAAACCUAAAUAUACGGNAACUUUGCACCUAUUAGGACNACGCCCCCANGNGACUGCAUUAAAGCAUNAUACCGAAGCC